rnacentral:rRNA from 1 species
GAUGAACGCUGGCGGCGUGCCUAAUACAUGCAAGUCGAGCGAAUGGAUUAAGAGCUUGCUCUUAUGAAGUUAGCGGCGGACGGGUGAGUAACACGUGGGUAACCUGCCCAUAGGACUGGGAUAACUCCGGGAAACCGGGGCUAAUACCGGAUAACAUUUUGAACCGCAUGGUUCGAAAUUGAAAGGCGGCUUCGGCUGUCACUUAUGGAUGGACCCGCGUCGCAUUAGCUAGUUGGUGAGGUAACGGCUCACCAAGGCAACGAUGCGUAGCCGGCCUGGGAGGGUGGUCGGCCACACUGGGACUGAGACACGGCCCAGACUCCUACGGGAGGCAGCAGUAGGGAAUCUUCCGCAAUGGACGAAAGUCUGACGGAGCAACGCCGCGUGAGUGAUGAAGGCUUUCGGGUCGUAAAACUCUGUUGUUAGGGAAGAACAAGUGCUAGUUGAAUAAGCUGGCACCUUGACGGUACCUAACCAGAAAGCCACGGCUAACUACGUGCCAGCCGCCGCAGUAA